rnacentral:rRNA from 1 species
AUUGAACGCUGGCGGCAGGCUUAACACAUGCAAGUCGAGCGGGGUGAUGGUGCUUGCACUAUCACUUAGCGGCGGACGGGUGAGUAAUGCUUAGGAAUCUGCCUAUUAGUGGGGGACAACAUCUCGAAAGGGAUGCUAAUACCGCAUACGUCCUACGGGAGAAAGCAGGGGAUCACUUGUGACCUUGCGCUAAUAGAUGAGCCUAAGUCGGAUUAGCUAGUUGGUGGGGUAAAGGCCUACCAAGGCGACGAUCUGUAGCGGGUCUGAGAGGAUGCUCCGCCACACUGGGGCGGGAACACGGCCCAGAGUCCUACGGGAGGCAGCAGUGGGGAAUAUUGGACAAUGGGGGGAACCCUGAUCCAGCCAUGCCGCGUGUGUGAAGAAGGCCUUAUGGUUGUAAAGCACUUUAAGCGAGGAGGAGGCUCUUUUGGUUAAUACCCAAGAUGAGUGGACGUUACUCGCAGAAUAAGCACCGGCUAACUCUGUGCCAGCCGCCGCCGUAA